rnacentral:rRNA from 1 species
GCUACGGGUGGCAGCAGUGGGGAAUAUUGGGCAAUGGGCGCAAGCCUGACCCAGCAACGCCGCGUGAAGGAAGAAGGCUUUCGGGUUGUAAACUUCUUUUCUGAGGGACGAAGAAAGUGACGGUACCGCAGGAAUAAGCCACGGCUAACUACGGGCCAGCAGCCGCGGUAAUACGUAGGGGGCAAGCGUUAGCCGGAUUUAUUGGGUGUAAAGGGCGUGUAGGCGGGAAAGCAAGUCAGAUGUGAAAACUCAGGGCUCAACCCUGAGCCUGCAUUUGAAACUUUUUUUCUUGAGUGCUGGAGAGGCAAUCGGAAUUCCGUGUGUCGCGGUGAAAUGCGUAGAUAUACGGAGGAACACCAGUGGCGAAGGCGGCUUGCUGGACAGUAACUGACGCUGAGGCGC